rnacentral:rRNA from 1 species
UGAGGAAUAUUGGUCAAUGGGCGUAAGCCUGAACCAGCCAAGUAGCGUGCAGGAAGACGGCCCUACGGGUUGUAAACUGCUUUUAUGCGGGGAUAAAGUGCAAUACGUGUAUUGCUUUGCAGGUACCGCAUGAAUAAGGACCGGCUAAUUCCGUGCCAGCAGCCGCGGUAAUACGGAAGGUCCGGGCGUUAUCCGGAUUUAUUGGGUUUAAAGGGAGCGCAGGCCGCCCCUUAAGCGUGUUGUGAAAUGCCGCGGCUCAACCGUGGCACUGCAGCGCGAACUGGGGGGCUUGAGUGCGCCGGAGGUAGGCGGAAUUCGUGGUGUAGCGGUGAAAUGCUUAGAUAUCACGAAGAACUCCGAUUGCGAAGGCAGCCUACCGUAGCGUUACUGACGCUGAGGCUCGAAGGUGCGGGUAUCGAACAGGAUUAGAUACC